rnacentral:rRNA from 1 species
GAUGAACGCUGGCGGCGUGCUUAAUACAUGCAAGUCGAACGAAGCACUUUUGACAGAUCCCCUCGGGGUGAAGAUGAUUGUGACUUAGUGGCGGACGGGUGAGUAACGCGUGGGGAACAUGCCUCGUGCUGGGGGAUAACCGUUAGAAAUGACUGCCAAUACCGCAUAAGCGCACAGUAAGGAAUCUUACAGUGUGAAAAGUUUUAUUGGCAUGGGAUGGACGCGCGUCUGAUUAGGUAGUUGGCGGGGGAACGGCCCACCAAGCCCGCGAUCAGGAGCCGGCGUUAGAGAGUGAGCGGCCACAGUGCGACUGAGACAAGGACGAGACUCUUAAGGGAUGCAGCAGCAGGGAAUAUUGAACAAUGGUGCAAACCCUGCUGCUGCGCCGCCGCGUGAGUGAUGAAGGAUUGCGGUACGUAAAACUCUAUCAGCAGGGAAGAUAAUGACGGUACCUGACUAAGAAGCCCCGGCUAACUACGUGCCAGCCGCCGCUGUAAUAC